GAGUGGAUGUACAAAGUAAACAAGUAAAAACUAAACAUAAAUGUGACUUUUCCUCAAUAUUGUAGCAGCACUCAAAAAAUUUCAUAUUAAUAUGCCCCUAGGAAACGAAGCACGGGAUUUUAAUCCAUCUAAUAAACGACGUAUUUUGAUUGGGAAACAUCGUGAAUUAUUACUACCAUUUUAUUCGGUACCUUCUCAUUGUGUGAAAUUUUAACUACAUUGAAGUGAAUUGUCAGACCGACGUAAGUUGUCAACAAAUUCUUAAUGUUAUAUUUUAUUUAUUCACUAAUCAAGGUCCCUCAAGGGCCAUAUACAAUCUUAACAAUUAUAAACAAGAACACUGAUUAACUACUUCAACGUGUCUUGAAAUAAAUGUCUGUAAUCCCUCAGAAUAUGCGUGGAAGUCUGAAAGUAAUCGACACACGAACCGCCCCCCCCCCCCCUAUUUUAAAUGUAGAAACGAAUCUAAAUUAACACUAAAUUAAUAAAUGGGGAAAAUAAAAGAUUACCUAUAUUUUACAAUGUUAUAUAGGGGUUUGGGGUGGUGGUAGUAAUCCUUAGUAAUGUCAGUUCACUUCCUCAUACAUUCAGAACUACAAUAAAGAUUGAAGGGGCCAGUCACUCAAUAUAUCUUACACAGUACUUCACUAGAGAGUACAUUGUAUAACUAAUUUUGCAUGUAAAAUUAACGCAAAAUGAACAUUGUAAAAAAAAAAAAAAAAAAAAAAAAAAAACUUCCCCACCCUGACGUGCCUGUUCAAAACAUUCAACAUCGAACAAGUAAUAAUGAUCAACACCAUGUCUACGAACAAGUAAAAAUGAUCAACACCAUGUCUACGAACAAGUAAAAAUGAUCAACACCCAUAGGCGAGAAAAUGGAAAUUUCAUGUAAUCUUUUUAUUCUUGAUAAAACACAUAUUUAAAUUCAUACACCCAAUACUAGUACUUCUACACCCUCCCUCAUAGUAACUUACGCUCUCCGUGCCCCUGAGGCUGCUUACUCUCCUCGUUCUUCCUCGACGGUACGCCGCCACGUGUUUCUAGGACGUCCGGUUUCCGCUUUCCCUCGGGAGUGCACGUAAAGAGAUCCUCAGGUUAAAGGACACAUCUAGAUACAUACACGCAAUAUUACAAUGUAGUACACAUACUUCCCCCGCAUUAAUUUGAUCAAAUGCAAUUAAUAUUAGAUAAUUAAUGAAGUAAUAAAAAGCAUGUCCCAGAUAAAAAUUGUAUAUAUAUAUAAGCCUGAGAGAUCCUAGCAAAAAGUUACAAAUAUCAUUUGCAUAAAAAAGUUUUAUCUAGUUUUUAUUAUUUACUUGUCCUUUUAGAAUUAAUCGGACCAGAGGUGCCCACAUGGAGCGGAGCAUAACAACAUUGAAUAAAUGAUAGAGAUCUUGAAGGAGAAACAUUUUUAUUACUUUAUUGUGAAUGUCAUAGUGAUUAUUUUCUUGUAAAGAUAUACUUUAAAAUUUUAUAUUGGAAGAAAAAUAAAGUUUAAUUUUCUGAUGUACAUAUUGUAGUCGCUAAAACAAUAUCAUUGGUACAAAAAUGUAACAACAUUACGCAAUUUAUUUCAGAUGCCAAUGACUCAUUGCCCCCAAUCAAGAAUAUUUCGGUCAUGAAAUCUCAAUAGUUUGUCAAAAUGAUUACUUCGUGCAUCAGAUAUAUUUUCAUAUAAAGAGAAAAAAAUUAUUCGCGUUUUCUUGCUUUCCACACCUACGAUACUGUGUAUAAAUUCAGCUGUGUAAACUUUAGUAUCAGUAGCUGAUUACAUGUAUAUUAAUGCAGGGUUUUCCAAAUGAUUCGAGUUUAAAAAAAGACAACAUGUACGGAGAUUGUUUCGUUUAUAAUGUUCUAUGAUUUAAUAAAUUUCACUGUUUAAUCUUAUCAGGAACAAGUGUUUCUAAUCUGCACUUCGGAACUGAAUAAUUAUUGCUAUAUUACUAUUCGCAAUUCAAUAGUGAAUUGCAUUGCGGAACGCAGUUCGCAAUUCAAAAUUGCAUAUGCAUAAAAAAGAAAACCAGACUGAAAUUUUAAGGAUGGGGUGCUAGUGUUCAACUCCUACCACUGUGAAAAAAUGGUGAUGCUACUCUCUCUGGUUAUGGAGAUCAGUCCCUCCAAUUUUUACUAAUAGUGAAUAAACAUCGGGUUCGGAAACAUCGAAGUUCAUACCCCGGGGCUAAAUUUCUGUGGAAACAAGGGGGUCUAUUUAUAUUCGGUCUUUCCAAUCCAGACCAAAUAAAAAUAAUCUCCUCGUUUCCACAGAAAUUACCCUGGGGCCGUAAAUUUUGAGAGUAAAUAUUAAUGAUAAACACCCACCAUUGUGAACAAAAUGAUGAUAGUACUUUUUCUGAUUAUGGAGACCGCUUGCUGCAUGUAUAUAAAUAUUUCUCUGUGUUUUUUCCUUUAAAUUCUUUCUUUUCUUUCUUUUUUGUGAUUGGUUGGUUGGUUGUAUACUGUUUAAUGUCCCGCUUACAAUUUUUCACUAACAUUGCCGGUGAAGGGCUGCACAAUUUAGGUCUAUGCUCGGCGUCGCAUACGGCCUUUGAGCAGGGAGGGAUCUUUAUCGUGCCUCACCUGCUGUGCCACGGGGUCUCGGUCUCAUCCGAAGGACCGCCCCAUUUAGUCGCCUCUCACGACAAGCAAGGGGUAUUGAGCCUGGCAGAUAUGAAGAACGAACAAGACCUCUCCAAUUCACAAACUACAGGUGGAAAAGCAGAGACGGUACCGGGCAUUACCAUUAUUUAUGCAAAAGUAGACGAGAACGAGGCUAGAGAAUUUAGUGAACAUUUACAAAGCGAAGUACUAAUAUCAGAGAAAUGUAAAACAAUCACGAUGUUGGACGAUACUCAAAUGGGGAAGUUAGAAGAGGCUUCCCAACACUCUCUUUUCGUAUUUCUUUUCCUAACAAAAUCAUUCUGUGAAGAUUCCUGGCCGAGAGUUUCACAAGAGGAUUGCAUCAGAAAUUCGUUGUAUGGGACUGAUACUAUUCGUGUUCUGGUACCAAUUUUUACGAAGUCGAGGAGUACUGCGGAUUUCAAGAUUCCUUUCGGGAUUAACAUCUUAAAAGGACUCAGAUACUGUGAUCGAGAUGACUUUUACAAAGCUUCUGUCCUUCAACUCUUAUUCAAAUGAGCACAUGACACUAGCUGAUAUUGUGAAUAUGAAGAAGCAAUUAAUUUUCGAAUGAUAAAAUAUGUAAUAUACUUUACCAUAACUACUCAGAUAUACACACACAGUAUUUUUGUAUAAUUUGAUAAGCUUACUUACCUCAGUGGAUAGUAUACAGGUACUACAGUGAAACUUUAUUAGUUUGAUUAUCUUGAUUGGGAAAUAUGUCAUAAUUCAUCACUCUCAAUUAGCACCCUUACAUGCAUCAUGAUGAUUUUUUAAAGAUGAUUUUACCGUUUAAACAGCUUCCCAAAAUUUGUUUAAUGGAUAUUUUGUGUUCAUGCGGUUUUAAAUACAUUAUAUGUAAAUAUGUUACUGAUUACAAUGUAUGAUAUAUUUACA